rnacentral:rRNA from 1 species
GACCUCGAAUCAGGUAGGAAUACCCGCUGAACUUAAGCAUAUCAAUAAGCGGAGGAAU